GGACAGUUAUUUUACUUCGCAAUUCAUUUCUAGUUUUCACUGUUUUUUAAUCGUAUUCGUACAACUGCAAUCGAGAUGAAAGAAAUCAAUUUAACUGUUGGAGCUUUUUCUGUGCCAUUUGCCGAAGGAUUUGUUGAAGAAGAUGAUCAAAUUGUUCCUAAAUUGAAGUCUCUUAAACGAUUUGCAGCCAUUCUCUCUGAUUAUGGUCCUUUCAAUUUGAAAUUCAUUUUACCCAAGGAAGGACAAUUGGGAGUGCUAACAGAGACUGGUUAUCAUGAUGGAG